rnacentral:rRNA from 1 species
CAGCAGCCGCGGGAAUACGAAGGGUGCAAGCGUUACUCGGAAUUACUGGGCGUAAAGCGUGCGUAGGUGGUUGUUUAAGUCUGUUGUGAAAGCCCUGGGCUCAACCUGGGAAUUGCAGUGGAUACUGGGCAACUAGAGUGUGGUAGAGGGUAGUGGAAUUCCCGGUGUAGCAGUGAAAUGCGUAGAGAUCGGGAGGAACAUCCAUGGCGAAGGCAGCUACCUGGACCAACACUGACACUGAGGCACGAAAGCGUGGGGAGCAAACAGGAUUAGAUACCCGCGUAGUCCCUGUCUCUUAUAC